rnacentral:rRNA from 1 species
GAUGAACGCUAGCGGCAGGCUUAACACAUGCAAGUCGAGGGGCAGCACGAGUAGCAAUACUUGGUGGCGACCGGCGCAAGGGUGCGUAACGCGUGAGCAACAUGCCCGUAUCAGGGGGAUAAUCCAGGGAAACUUGGUCUAAUACCCCAUAGUAAUCAUAUCAGGCAUCUGGUAUGAUUUAAAGCUUAGGUGGAUACGGAUUGGCUCGCGUGACAUUAGCUAGAUGGUAAGGUAACGGCUUACCAUGGCUAUGAUGUCUAGGGGUUCUGAGAGGAAGGUCCCCCACACUGGAACUGAGACACGGUCCAGACUCCUACGGGAGGCAGCAGUGAGGAAUAUUGGACAAUGGAUGGAAAUCUGAUCCAGCCAUGCCGCGUGAAGGACGACGGUCCUAUGGAUUGUAAACUUCUUUUGUAGGGAGCAAUAAGGUCUACGUGUAGAUCGAUGAGAGUACCAUACGAAUAAGCAUC